GUUGUAUGGUUAAGUGACUAAGCGUACACGGUGGAUGCCUUGGCAGUUGGAGGCGAUGAAGGACGUAUUAACUUGCGAUAAGCCUAGUCAAGCUAGUAAAAAGCACUUGAGACUAGGAUUUCCGAAUGGGGAAACCCACCUGCUUGCAGGUAUCGUUAACUGAAUACAUAGGUUAACGAGGCGAACGCGGAGAACUGAAACAUCUAAGUACCCGUAGGAAAAGAAAUCAACCGAGAUUCCGGAAGUAGCGGCGAGCGAAACCGGAACAGCCCUUAAGCUUAUUAUGUGUUAAUGGAAGGCCGCUGGAAAGCGCCACGAUACAGGGUGAUAGUCCCGUACAUGAAAAGACAUUUUAAGUGAAAUCGAGUAGGUCGGAGCACGUGAAACUUUGACUGAAUAUAGGUGGACCAUCAUCUAAGGCUAAAUACUCCCAACUGACCGAUAGUGAACCAGUACCGUGAGGGAAAGGCGAAAAGAACCCCUGUGAGGGGAGUGAAAUAGAACCUGAAACCGUGUACGUACAAGCAGUAGGAGCCCACUUGUUGGGUGACUGCGUACCUUUUGUAUAAUGGGUCAGCGACUUAUAUUUUGUAGCGAGGUUAACCGAAUAGGGUAGCCGUAGGGAAACCGAGUCUUAACUGGGCGAAUAGUUGCAAGGUAUAGACCCGAAACCCGGUGAUCUAGCCAUGGGCAGGUUGAAGGUUGAGUAACAUCAACUGGAGGACCGAACCCACUAACGUUGAAAAGUUAGGGGAUGACCUGUGGCUAGGAGUGAAAGGCUAAUCAAACCGGGAGAUAGCUGGUUCUCCCCGAAAUCUAUUUAGGUAGAGCCUCGGACGAAUACUUACGGGGGUAGAGCACUGUUAAGGCUAGGGGGUCAUCCCGACUUACCAACCCUUUGCAAACUCCGAAUACCGUAAAGUAAUAUCCGGGAGACACACGGCGGGUGCUAACGUCCGUCGUGAAGAGGGAAACAACCCAGACCGCCAGCUAAGGUCCCAAAGUCAUAGUUAAGUGGGAAACGAUGUGGAAAGGCCCAGACAGCCAGGAGGUUGGCUUAGAAGCAGCCAUCCUUUAAAGAAAGCGUAAUAGCUCACUGGUCGAGUCGGUCUGCGCGGAAGAUGUAACGGGGCUAAACUAUGCACCGAAGCUGCGGAUUCAGAAUUUAUUCUGAGUGGUAGGGGAGCGUUCUGUAAGCGGUUGAAGGUGUACCGGGAGGUAUGCUGGACGUAUCAGAAGUGCGAAUGCUGACAUGAGUAACGAUAAUGGGAGUGAAAAACUCCCACGCCGGAAGACCAAGGGUUCCUAUCCCAUGUUAAUCAGGGUAGGGUAAGUCGACCCCUAAGGCGAGGCCGAAAGGCGUAGUCGAUGGGAAACAGAUUAAUAUUUCUGUACUCGAUAUAAUUGCGAUGGGGGGACGGAGCAGGCUAAGCAAGCAUGGCGUUGGUAGUCCAUGUGAAAGUGAGUAGGGCGUUUGUUUAGGUAAAUCCGGACGAACAUUAAACCUGAGACACGAGACGAGCUACUACGGUAGUGAAGUUGCUGAUGCCAUACUUCCAGGAAAAGCCUCUAAGCUUCAGAUUAUAUGGAAUCGUACCCCAAACCGACACAGGUGGUCAGGUAGAGAAUACUAAGGCGCUUGAGAGAACUCGGGUGAAGGAACUAGGCAAAAUCGUACCGUAACUUCGGGAGAAGGUACGCUCCUAUCUGUGAUGAGACUUGCUCUCUAAGCGGACGGGAGCCGCAGUGACCAGGUGGCUGGGACUGUUUAUUAAAAACACAGCACUGUGCAAAAUCGCAAGAUGACGUAUACGGUGUGACACCUGCCCGGUGCCGGAAGGUUAAUUGAUGGGGUUAUCUUCGGAGAAGCUCUUGAUCGAAGCCCCGGUAAACGGCGGCCGUAACUAUAACGGUCCUAAGGUAGCGAAAUUCCUUGUCGGGUAAGUUCCGACCUGCACGAAUGGUGUAACCAUGGCCACGCUGUCUCCACCCGAGACUCAGUGAAAUUGAAAUCGCAGUGAAGAUGCUGUGUACCCGCGGCUAGACGGAAAGACCCCGUGAACCUUUACUACAGCUUGGCACUGAACAUUGAACCUACAUGUGUAGGAUAGGUGGGAGACUU
rnacentral:rRNA from 1 species